CGGGCAGUAGCUAAGUGAUAGAGCCCCCGCUUCGCAUGCGAGAAGGCCUGGGAUCGAUUCCCGGCUGCUUUC
rnacentral:tRNA from 1 species